GUAGCAGAAUAAAGCUCAAGGGUGUUCAGCAUUCCCUUUAAGAAAGGGGGUGCUGCCUAUUACUACUUUUCAAGCACUGAUGCUGAUGAUCGCAUUUGCCAGUUUGAUCGUGUCCAUUAUUGCUUUGACACAAAAAAAGUAACCCACCCUUGAGCCUGUAAGCAGAGAGUGGAUUACCUUUCACUUUGAAUGCUGAUCCCCUUGAAGGGAAUUUUGCUGCAAGACCGUUUGGUGUUACCAGCACCAACG
rnacentral:sRNA from 1 species